UACGGGGGGGGCAAGCGUUAUUCGGAUUCACUGGGCGUAAAGGGUGCGCAGGCGGCCAAGUGUGUUAGGCGUGAAAGCCCGGAGCUUAACUCCGGAAUUGCACCUAAAACUACAUGGCUAGAGCAUUGGAGAGGGUAGCGGAAUUCACGGUGUAGCAGUGAAAUGCGUAGAUAUCGUGAGGAACACCAGAGGCGAAGGCGGCUACCUGGACAAUUGCUGACGCUCAGGCACGAAAGCGUGGGGAGCAAAAGGG
rnacentral:rRNA from 1 species